ACUGCUACUACUACUACUACUACCGUCUACUUCCACUGCCUGGUUCUAUAACUAGUAUAACCACAACAUGAUCUUCUAGUAAGGGUUCGAAUCUCUAUAUCGAAGUCCCGAGUACCAGUGAACGAACGACUCGUGGGUUCAGUUGUAGUCGUGGUGGUGACGAGGACGACCCCUCAGAUACACUCACACCAAAUCUCCACCAGCGCUUGUAUCGUCUGUGACUCGUGUUUCUAUAGGGGUGAAGAAAGUGAAGACCAGUAGAGAGUCCCUUCAUCAACACAAGACACACCCUCACCCAAAGAACACCACUGCAGUCUUCUCUCUCCCCUACUACCACCACCACUGCCAUGGCCCCAGUCGCGUCGUCUGGCAAGAAAGGAGGCAAGAAAGGACUCCUCUCUCUGGUGGAGAAUGUUGUGCAUAAAACCCUGAACCCUAAACAUAAGUCAGGCGUUAGUAAGCGGAGGAGUCACGGAGAGGAAGAAAACCGACCCGGAUGUCGGAAGAUGAUCAAACGAUGCGUGAAAAAAAGCGUGCGUGUGGCUGUGUGUGCCUACGGGAUGGUGAGGGAGACUGGUAUGCUGGGUGGCAUCCCGGGUGUGGUGGCAGAUGCCUUUGUGAGUACUACAAGAGCCUUACUAGGUGUAAGAAGCCCACAGCACAUGAGCACACCCAUCGCUGCUGGCUGGAACUUGGAAUGUGAGGCCUCUCGGGAAUGUAAAGUUCGUUGCGACGUUCUGAGCGUCUCCAAGUCACCGGAGUUCUCGACGCGGCUUGAGUUUCGGUCCCCUAUUGAUGUUUUCAUCAGACCAGGAGAGGUGGAGGUGAGAGGGAGUGCAGGGCGCUCGCACACGCAAGGAAGGUUGGCUAUUCAAGGCGGUGUAAGCUCUUUCGUUUCUCCCGGACCUUCAGCCACAGAUCUAACCGUUUCAACGCCUCAAUUUGGCGCUCAUGGCUCCUUGAUCGAGCCCAAAACCGAACCUACAUCGCCCGGCUUCGUAACAUGUCCUCUAACACCCCUACAGACGGAACCAAUCCUGUUCCCUCGUAUCAAGACGGAGAGGACACGCCUACAGACGGAAGCAGCAGACCUGCUCCCUCGUAUCAAGGAGGAAAGGAGGAUCAAGCGAGAGGUUCUGUAAUUCAUGAACCAGGCACACCGCCAGUCUUGGAAGUCAUUCCGCUAUCGCCUCUACAAACAGUCGCAAUUUACCUCUCGCAUCAAGUGAGGAGGAGGAGGAGGAGGAGGAGGAGGAGGAGGAGGAUCAAGCAAGAAGUCCUAUAAUUUAUCUAAAACAGGGCGACGUAAAUAGAGUGGAGGGAAUAGUGCAGCACCAAGAUAAGGGGAAAAAGUUGCUCAUCUUUACACACACGCCUCACUGACCUAUUGCUGGGUCUUGGUGGUGGUGACUCGGCGGUGAGUUGCAGAAUGAGUGCUGGAAUGGCUGCGUCCUACUGAAGGCGACCUGAUAGUGAAAGAAAGUGCUGGUGUAAGGAUACAGUGAUAAUGAUGCAUAAAGAGAAGACAAUAGGAGGAGGAGGAGGAGGAGGAGGAGGAGGAAGUAGUGGUGAGAUGGCCUAUUUUUAAGUGUUACAGUGUCGUUAAAAGGCUAAGCACGUGAGCUCUUGAAGUGAUUGGCUAAGAGAAGCUGCCACCUAGUGCUAAGAAGUGGCUUUCAAUCCCAGUCUGAACCAAGCACUGCAGUAUGUCGACCCUUACUUUCUCACCACGCUGCACUGGGUAGCCGCGCUCGCUCAGAAAGGCGCACUCCCACAACCACAUGCUCUAAAUCAAAGCUGUGUUUAUUUUUAUUAGUAAUUUCCAACCGGUGAGUGUUGUCAAUGUAAUGUUUUAGUAAUUGCUUUUAAAAUAGGUGCUGUUUGUCGUGCGUAAUAAAAAGCGUGUUUUUGUAAA